UGCGUAAUGUGGCCAAGAGGUUCGACUGGUGCUGAAGUGGAAGAGAGCAGGUCUGAGUUGGCGCCCUGGACAAACUACAUCGAUGUUGAGGAAGUACCUAGGGUGUCUGGUAGUUCAUGGUGGGAGAUGUGUCGGAUUAGUAGGAAAAAUGUCCUUUUGGUUAGGCCUGAUGAGCACAUAGCAUGGCGAACAGAAUCGGACAGGGUCAGGGAUGCUGAAUCAGAAAUUAGGAGAGUAUUCUCUCAUGUUCUGUGCCUAAAUAGGUGUAAGAAUUUGUAAAUUUCCUUUCAUUUAGUGAUUGGGUUUACAUACAACAUCAGUGAAUUAGGAUAGCAAAUCAUUAUAUUUGACAAGUUACUCGCUAAAACCAAAUUUGGACUGAAUUCUGACAGACCAGAUGACUGCGGUUUUAGUUUAAUCGUGAGCCAAUGAGAUAAAUCAUGUAAAAGUAUUGCUGCUCGUUUAAUUUAAUCGCGCAUUAUUUUUCCUCUUCAUAUGUCUGCGCUUCGCCGACCAUUUGUGUGUGAUUCCUAUAGAUUGUCUCUUGCACGAAGGUCAAGCUGUACGCACCAGGCCCAGGUUAUCAGGCCCUGUUCCGCUGACUGAAAAAGGCUGCUGCUGCUGGCGGUCUCCUACGGUUCUCUUACGAUGGAACCAAACCAAUCCUCAUCCGAUGCAUUUCAUACCUCAAAUCAUCUAGACACUUUUUUUUAUUGGUUGUAACAGCCAAACAUGUCACGAGUUCACGUCGCAAGAAGAGGUCAAAUGGAAAACUAGAACGAGCAGAAAUACUCCUAAACGAGCUAAAACGACGCGCACGAGAUACCAUCAACCAUCAUACAUUUCUCCUACCUAGCUAAGCACGGAAAAUGAUGUUACACCGAAGAAGGGUCCAAUCACCGCAAAAAAAUGAAUCCAAAUUACUCCGCCGGCUGGGUGAUCCAUCCACCGGUUGCGUUCAGGUGGCGAUGAGCUGGCGCACGUUGACCGGCGAGAUGUCCUCGGGUCCGCCGUCGAGGAUCCGGCGGGCGAUGAGCGCGUUGGCGGCCUCGCUGGGGUGGUAGGGGUCCCAGAACACGUACUUGGACCUGUCCGCGCAGUACUGCGACGUCGGCCCGCACGGCACCAGCCCGCCGAACCGCCCGCCCACGUAGCAGCACGCCGAGUCCGCCACCUCGAACCCUGCACAUCGUGCACGAGCACAGCAGAUUACAAUCCGAAUCCCCAUGUGAAUUAGCCCGGUUAUUUCUUCAUGUUCAUGGUGCGGCUGGUAGCGGUACCGUGGGCUGUGUAGUUGGCGAUGAUGUCGGAGAAGAUGUGGUAGACGUCGGCGUAGACGAUGCGCGAGCCCGGGAGGGCGGCGCCCAGCUCGUCCACCAGGGCCCUGAGCCGCCGGUUGAAGGCCUGCGCCAGCUGGUUCGGGAACUCGGCGCAGGCCGUGCCGGCCGACGGGUUCGUGUCCCUCUGGUACGGGAUGCAGCCGAUCGGCCCCACGUUCACCACCACGAUCUUGCGGGCGUCCAGGAGGUACAGCCUCUGCAAACGCACGGCAAACCACGGCUAUAACAACGCGCUGCCCAGCUGCAUGCAGCUGGAAGCUGAGAUAUAUAUAUACUUACGGUGAGCUGCUGGCGAUACUUGGCGAUCAUGGCGCUGAUGAAGGCGACCGGCGGCGUGGUGACGCGCUGCGGCACGGAGAAGAUGGGCGUGAGGUAGUUGUUGAUGAAGUCGUUGGAGCCCAUGGUGACCGAGAAGAGCGCGCCCCGCAGCAGGCUCACCGCCUCCACCUCCCCGUGCCGCGCGAUCAGGUCGUGCCGGCUGUUGGCGUAGUUGUCGAUCUGGGCGUCCAGGUUCAGGCGCCCACCCUGUCCAACACAGAUCAGCUUGCGUUAAGGGCUUAAGGCAACUACAUUGCCUGUGUCUCUCAUUCAAAAUGAUCUCUUUGUGUAGAUAGCAGACUCGUGGUUACUUGUUAGCUCUGUGUUUCACGCGAAAGAGAAGGUCUUGGAGAACUAACUCAUGCAGAUGCGAUGAUCAAGUUAUUAUACGUGGGAACAAGCUAAUAAGCAUUGGGGUAAAACAUAAGCAUUUCACAGAAACAGAUUUGGUGGAGGCCAUGUACUGACGAAGAUACUGCCGGUUUGGUUGAGGAUGCCUCCGCCGCCGGACGCGUAGUUGACGCCUCUCAUCACGGCGUCGCCCGUGGUCUCCGGGGCCAUGUACGGCGGCACGAGCCCUCCCAGUCCCAUCUCUUGCCCUGAAGAAACAUGCAUCCAAAGGAAAAAUGUGGAGAAAUUCAGGAGGGCAAUCAACUGGCAGGCAAUGCAAUGCAAUGUACGAGUAACAUAACAUCUAGUAUCAAAGAUCAGGCAAAGAGACUGAGUGCGGAUGGCACCUAGAAUGUCGAUGAUGGUCCGGCCGUUCGUGUACCGGCCGGUGGGCUGGUGGCCGAAGAAGUCGAUGCCGUUCGGGGGGUAGUUGGCCUUGGACAGGGACACGAUGUAGUUGUUGUUGCCGGCGUCGACGAGCGAGUCGCCGAAGAUGAAGUUCGCCGGCAUGCCAACGCCGCCGGCAGCGCGGGUACGAGCGAGCACGGCGAGCCAGCAGGCCAGCAGUAGAGCGAGACGAGACGCCAGUCUAGGCCGAUGCUCGUGCGGCCGACGCAUCGAUCGAUGAGGCAAGUGUGUCACAGCGAGACUGACAGGGAGGAAAUGAUAGAAGCCUGGAAGUUGGUUGCAGUGGAGGAGAAGGUUGAUGGCGAGGGGAAAAAGCUUUGCCUGCUUAUAUAGCAAGCACGAGAAACAGAAUCUAAGCUCUAAGUGGCUGCAGAAAAUAAUCCAGAAAUAGGCUUGGUUGAUGCUUGCAAGUAGUACCAAAUAGCUCUGCAAAUAGGCAAAUACUACCACAGAUGGCAGACAGAGGUUUAAGCAGAGAACGAUGUACGCAAAGAAAGCCGCCAAGAAACCGAGACUGACGGGGAGGAAAGACCGUGUGACCUGCGAAGGUCGUUGCGAGGGACUGAGGGAGCAGCAUUAUAUGAAAAAACCACACAUGGCAUUGUUUUCGCAUGACGGGUAAGUAUUAUACACGUACACGGUACACGUCUAAAUCCGCCCGUCCGGCAUUGAUUAUUUGAAUGGUUGCCUGUUGCUGAUCUCUGAAGCCUUCAUCAGCUGCCCGUGAGCUCUCGGCACCGGGACGGACGGUGAUACAAUAGAAUUCGGCUUCUCUCGCCAUGCAGAGGCUUCCGCAUUUGGCGCAUCGCAUUUAGGAGCAUCCGUGCAUGGCCUUGGCCUGACGAGCAUUCAUUCCGUUUCCCCAUUUCUGGAGCGCGAAGCGGGGCAGCGUCGGCAGCCCAGCCCAGCGGCAGGUCUCGAGCCCUGGAUCGCCCUGGAUUGGAUAUGAUCCUUUAGUUCUUAAAAAAAUUAUAAGAUUCUCUAUCACAUCGAAUCUUGUGAUACAUCCAUAUUAAAUAUAUACAAAAUAAAAAUCAAUUACACACUUUACCUGUAAUUUGCGAGACAAAUCUUUUAUGUCUAGUUAGUUUAUGAUUGAAUAAUAAUUACCAAAUACAAAUGAAAGUACUACGAUGCUCAAAAUUCAAAAAAUUUUGCCAACUGAACAAGGCACUUGCAGAGUUGCCGUAGUGUGAAUUUACCGUGGACUAUGGCGCAUCAGAGUAAAUGGAGUCCCUGCAAGAUUCAAAUUCAAAAUAUUUUGAAACUAAACAAGGCCUAUGAUCGGGACCUGUAGAUCUAUGCAGGCACCAGGUGACAGAAACAGCAGCACGCCCGGGCAUCUGCUGCUUUGGGCCUUGUUUAGUUCACCCAAAAAAGCAAAAAGUUUUUUAAGAUUCCCCGUCACAUCGAAUCUUGCGGCAUAUGCAUGAAGCAUUAAAUAUAGACGAAAGUAAAAACUAAUUACACAGUUUAGCUGGAAAUUGCGAGACGAAUCUUUUGAUCCUAGUUAGUCUAUAAUUAGAUAAUAUUUGUCACAAACAAACGAAAGUGCUACAGUACCGAAAUCCAAAAUCUUUUCGGAACUAAACAAGGCCUUAAAAGAAAAUAGAAUACCUGACCCCCUGUUCACGAAACAGAGCAGCAAAACACGCGAUCGAGAAGCCAUACCGUAUCGAAAAUACGCGGUACGCCCAUACUAGUGGCUCGACCGGUAUCGUGUAGUGUACCGUAAAGGAACUCUUUCGUUUUCCUAAGCUAAGGCCUUGUUUAGUUCGUAAAAAUUUUCAAGAUUUUCCGUCACAUCGAAUCUUUGGUCGCAUGUAUGGAGCAUUAUAUAUAGACGAAAAUAAAAACUAACUGCACAGUUUACCUGUAAUUUGUGAGAUGAAUCUUUUGAGCCUAAUUACUCCGUAAUUGGACAAUAUUUAUAAAAUAAAAACGAAAUGCUACAGUAUUCAAAAACAAAAAAAAUUUGCGAACUAAACAAGGCCUAAGAAAAGGGGUUUAGGAAUUAUGCUGAGAGGAGAAACAAAGCAACGAACCGGUCAAGAGCUUGUUAUUGGUCUGAAAAGUCAUAGCAGAUAUUGUUUGCUAAUUUACUAUAAGAAAAAAAUAAUACUGAUUGACCAAAAAAAUACAAUUUAUAAGACAAAUGGUCUGCCUUGCUUUGUUGAAGGCUUGCAGCCUUGUAGGUGAUUCGACUUUCGAGGCAGUGGCAUCAUUUGUUGUAUAACUAUUGCGAAAUAUAUAAUAGUUAUUAGAGUUGUCAUGGAAUAUUUUUAGAGUUUUGUUGUAUAACUAUUUCGAAUUAUAAAUUUUACGACUCUUCAAUAAACUUUGUCAGGCUUUUAGCCUGUUUGACUAAAAUCAUAUAUUUUUUUUAGAACAGAGAUAGUAGCAGUGUACAUUUUUGAAUAAAUUUGUUUGUUUUCAUCUCCCAACUCCCAAAUAAAACAUAAGCAAGUUGCACGCCAAGUAGUACUCCCUCAGUACAAAAAAAAUUACAAUUCUCAUAUUUUGAGAAGUCAAAUAAUUUUAACAUCGACUAAAUUUUAUAUGGAAAAAUACUAAUAUUCAUUAGACAAAAUAAGUAUUUGUUAACUUAGUUAAAGAAUAUAUUUUCACAAUAAAUAUAUUUUGAGACAUAAAUAUUAAUACUAUUUACUAUAAACAUAAUCCAAGUUAGACUAGUUUGAUUGACACGUUUCUUAUAAUUGCAUUUUUUUCUAAGAGACAGGAGUAAUAAUGAUAUUGCCAUUCAUCCCAUCGGCAUUUACAUACUCGUAAUACGACUUCAGUUUUGCGCAUUAAGGUGUACUACUACUUCCGUGUAUUCUAGCACUAAAAAUUUAUCCUCAAAUAUAAUGUUAUUUUGAGGACAAAAAUCAUUUUUGUAUUAAAUAUUCUUCAUUUAUCAACAAAUCAUCUAUCACAUGAUGAUAACGUCUGAUUAGAAAAUAAAAUAAGGAUAUAUAUGUUUUUUAUAUUAUCUCUUAAUUUAUCCUAAAACUCCUAGAAUCCACUAUAUUACAGCAGAUUUUCAUCUUAGGCCUUGUUUAGUUCCUCUCCAAAACCUAAAAUUUUUUAAGAUUUCUUGUCACAUCGAAUCUUUGGAUACAUGCAUAAAGCAUUAAAUAUAGACAAAAAUAAAAACUAAUUACACAGUUUGUCUGUAAUUAAUGAGACGAAUCUUUUAAGCCUAGUUAGUCUAUAAUUAGACAAUAUUUGUCACACUCUUUUACCAAAAAAUUUUGGAACUAAACAAGGCCUUAAUGGCUUUUCUUACAAGAAAAAAAGCAACAGGUUUUGAGCAGCCAUCCCAAGCACAGCAUGUCCGGUUCCAGGAUUCAUGCUUGCAUCUGCAUGAAACGCAUGGGUGUUGAACUAUUGGUGAUAUGCUGCAGUUUCUGAACGGUGAGGACGACGACCGUCUUCGCCACUGCUGAAGACAGGUCAGAGGUGCAUCGAACGCCCUUACGGACUUGUCCAAUGAUGUAUUGUACGGAGUGCUCUCUUGGUUUCAGGGCUUUAGGCUGGUUUAGUUCGCAAAAAAUUUUAAGAUUUUCUGUCACUUCGAAUUUUUGGUCGUAUGCAUGAAGCAUUAAAUAACGAAAAUAAAAACUAAUUGCACAGUUCAUUUGUAAUUUGUGAGAUGAAUCUUUUGAGCCUAAUUACUCCGUGAUUGGACAAUGUUUGUUAAAUAAAAACGAAAGUGCUACGGUAGCCACAAGCCAAAAUUUUUGAGAACUAAACAAGGCCGUAAGCCCAAAUUAAUCAGCCCAUAGGCUUGUCCGCACUAUCCAAACGAGGGCGGGUUGGAGGCUUGGAGCCCAUGGGCCGGCACGACCGAGUAAGCACGCCGUGUAAAGAUCAGUGAUCACAGAGCCAGUUGGUGGCUGCAUUCGAUGGUUAACACUUAACAGCCGGUCAACACGACGGUGAUGGUUCUGUGAUUGUCCGGUGACACUCAGGAAGUGCAUGUGAUUGCUGCAGCUCGAGGAACAUCGCAUGUAUGCAUUGGAACAAGCGGAAGGCAACAGCCGAUCCGGGCCGUCCAAGCGCGUGCCGUCAUCGCGGGCUCGCGGCGGCGGCUCUCACCCCGGAUUCCCGGAAGAGGCCGGCCGGCGUCCAAGUAGCUCGUCGUCAUCAACGCCAAAGGAAGUGGCUACCAGCGCGCUACCGUCAAUCGGAAUCGGAAAAGAAUGAACAUGAGUAAUCGAUUAGUUGCGAUAGGGCUUCGACAGACUAACCGACGAUGAUCCUGGUGAAGUUUAUUUUGCAGCAUGUGCUCUCUUUCCCACGUUCCGAGAGGUGUCCAAACACACAAACUAUUUUAAGAUAUGUGUUUAUAUAUUUUUCAAAUCGAAUCCAGUGAAUAAAAGAGUGAAGACAUGUACUCUUAAGGAAAAAAAACCGCAUCCUCCUAUUCUCGAAAAUUUGUGCAUGUUAUUGCUACACAAAUAGUUAAGUGGAAAGUUCUUUCUGUUGUGGCGCGUCCAGCGCAUCAUCACAUUUAUUUGGCAUAUAGCAAGCAACCAUAUAUGAUAUAUCAUAUAUGAACUCUAUGUAGCUCAUAACAGUUUCUUUAUUUCGACAAAAUACAAUAAUGAAAAUAGUACAAUACAAAGCAACCUUUCAGAUUGCUACUAACGCAGUGUAUAUAUAUACUCCGUAUAAACUACUAUAUAUCAUACAAUUAUCACAGACUAGACGCAUAUGCAACAUUCUUAUUCUGUGUAUUAAGAUCGUUAUGCAGAGAGUAUGAUCAGGAUCGAUCGGUAUAGCCGUAUAGCACACACAUGGUAGGUUGACUCCACGCAUGCCUGUCAAGGGAGUCUGCGUCGAGACCUUGCAUGCACUCGCUAUGCACGCAUAUGCAUGCAUGCAUGUAAGAGGUUGAAUCAGACACCGCCACCUAUGCCACCUCCACCUCCGGCGCCACCACCAUAACCACCGCCGCCGCCGGAGCCAAGGCCACCCCCAGCGCCAGCACCACCACCGUAGCCUCCGCCAGCACCUCCGCCGUAGCCACCACCGGCGCCACCUCCAGCUCCUCCACCGUAACCGCCUCCAGAGCCACCUCCUGCGCCUGCACCUCCACCGUAUCCACCACCAGUGCCCCCACCAGCUCCUCCACCAUAACCGCCUCCUGCACCGGCACCUCCGCCAUAGCCGCCUCCAGCGCCGCCUCCUGCACCAGCACCUCCGCCAUACCCGCCGCCAGUGCCACCGCCUGCACCUGCUCCUCCGCCGUAACCACCACCGGCCCCGGCUCCUCCUCCGCCACCAAGACCACCUCCUCCACCAGAACCACCACCAAGACCACCGCCUCCACCAGAACCACCACCAAGACCACCGCCUCCACCAGAACCACCACCAAGCCCGCCGCCGAGACCUCCACCGGAACCACCCCCAAGGCCGCCGCCUCCACCAGCACCUCCGCCGGCACCACCACCAUAACCACCUCCCUCACCGCCACCAAGCCCUCCGCCUCCGCCUAAGCCACCUCCAGCUCCACCACCGAGGCCGCCUCCGCCGCCUGCACCCCCACCAAAACCACCACCCUUCCCUCCUCCAAACCCAACUCCAAGCCCUCCACCGUGCCCAAGGCCACCACCAAGCCCAACACCACCGCCGCCGCCGCCGCCGUACCCUCCCCCACCACCAAGCCCGCAACCACCACCGCACAGGUUCUGCUUCUCCAAGGACCGCGCCUCGGCGGCCACCGCAAGAACCACCGCGACGGCCAGCCCCAGAAACGCCAUGUUCCACACACCCCUCGGCGCCCUCCCCAUGUCGUGCCAAGCAGGAGUUCACUAGCUAGCUACAGCCAAGCAGUAGUAGUGAGUAGUGACGCUGCUGCUCUGGACUCUGGAGCGCUGGACGAAGAAGACCGAGCUCUAUCGGUGAUCUUAUAUAGCGGGGCAGAGUGGCGUGUAGUCGCCUACCCAGUUAAUGCGUAGUAGGGUGGUUGCGCGCGCGCGCGCGCACGGCCUCGCGUCCCUGCUUUCAGGACAGCCAGGUGGUGAGCGGGAAGGCACCAGGCACUAGCUGCGCGCUGGUCGCUGGGCGGGACUGACUGGGAGGCCCAGUUCACAGCGGGGCGGCCGGCUGCUGAAGUCUUCUCGCCCCGCCCGCCGCAUUGACCGUGAUGGGUGUGGCGAGCCGCGAGCGCCGCGCCGCGCGGUGCGGCACUGGCGCUGGGCGAUGCUGCGACGUGCGUGUCCCUCGCCUUCCCUGCACGUCGACGGGGAGACGACGACGAUGAGAAUAGCAGAUUGAGCUGCAUUUAUGUCGGCGCGCUGUGAGGGACGACGGCGCAACUACCCGCGCACAUGCCAGAGCGACUUCGGCUGCCGGAGGGAUCGGGGGGCACCGCCAUGCAUGAUCGGUGGAGAGCGAUCUGGCGAGUGAUGCGGCCAACGGCGAAUAAUAUCGCGCGCUUGUCCGAUCGACAACCAAAUCGAAGUGAUCGGAUCGGAGGUGAGCUGCGUGAGGAGAUGGUUGAGCCUGUCGUUUACCAGAAUGGAAAUAGAGCGUUGAUUUUCUUCGAGCUGAAUAUGCUUUUCCAUGAUAUUCAUUCAAUAUACUCAUAUCUCAGUCGACGCUGCUAUCAGUAAUCGAUCAAUGGACUUGGAAAUUAAAGAUGCAAGUAUAUGUCUGUCUGACUGUCUCUGUAAACCAAAUAUGGCAAAGCGUAGCAGUCAUCCACGUACGUACGCUUGCUUAUCUGCGCAAUCGGCUAUAUAUCAGCAAUUUACUUACCUUACAGUAUGGAGUUGUAAGUUGUAACUGAAAUUGGCCUGCAACUCCAGAAGUAAGAACUGAACUGUGGCCCAAAAAAAAAAGGAAAAGAAAAAGAAAGAAAAGAGCUUCAGUCCCAUUUGCUUACUUCUCUCAUUUUCCACACGAACCACAGGCUCACAGAGUCACAGCAGCAGCGCAGUUGAAUUCCAUGGAUAUUUUGGCGAUGUCGAUCGAGAGCUCUAGCAACAGGUAGCAGUAACCAGACUAGCAAGCGACAACCGAUCGGGCCUGAUGAGUCCUGCAUGUGCAGUGCAGAGGAGGUGUACCGAGCUGCUCUCAUCAAGUAAAGCCGUUGCGUCAAGAACGGCGGCCGGCCGGCCUGAUAUUUUGGUGUCGUCAUGUGAGAUGUUCAGAGGUAGUACGUAGAAUCACUCACCGCUGGUCGGACGAGCGGCAAGCACCGACGUUCGCCGGACGGUUUGAAUUCUGCACGGAUUUGAUGGACAGAGGUGGGGUUCAGUGGUUCAUCAGGACAUACAAAUGUUCUUGCUCGCGUGUCUGCUUGUAAAGCAACGACAAAACUGAGCUCAAAUCAGUAUAUCAGAUCAGAUAUAAAGCAACCACGUUCGUUCAGUGUAACAACCGAUCUUCUGCUCAUAUGAACUGUAGGUACGUUGAAGGACUGCAUGCUGACGAGUAGCUUUCAGCUAGCUGCUCGCACUGACGGACAGUUGGUGGUGGUCGUCUGGAGAUCGCUGUAGAGUAUUCCAUAAAACAGGCCAAAUUAAACGUGCUACCACAACCACAAAUUACUAAUUCUCUUAGUAAAGUGGAUUUUUUUUAGUGUUUUAGCAUUCAAAAUUUAGUAUAAAUCUUUUCUACUAACUGUCUCCUAGCUAGUGGGAUUUUCUAGUGCUUUGACUAUAGUGGUAAUAUUUUAUAACUACACUAGGAGAAUUCUACUAUUUAUAUAUGGUAAUGUACGUUGUAUAUAGCAUGUAGUAAGCAUAUCUAGACCCUCAAGGCAAGUGGUAAACUUUGAUCGCUAAUAACAACCGUGUUAUCGUGACUAACGUUUAUUUUGGGUGAGAACAUUUUAGGGUUUGUUUGGAACAAAGAAACCUAAAAUGGAGGAAUGGAUGAAAACAUAGAAAAGAAAUAGGAAUGCAUUAGCAAACGGAGGAAUAGAAAACAUAUAGGAAAGGAACGAGAGAAGACUGUUUGGAACGCAGGAACAUGUACCAUAUGAAAAUUAAAAUCAUGUGAGUAAUAUAAUAAAUAUUAUUAGUACUAAAUUAAUGAUAGAUUAAUAUAAGAUAUUACAGCACGUCGUGUUUAAUUGCAUGUCCGCCCUGAUCAGUUAGCUUAUCCAAUGUUUGGCGCCAGCUAUCCUGCUGGGCAGAUACAGCACCGGCUUAUGAGCUUCAUUAGGGCUUGUUCGGUUGAUCCGGUUUGGGUCCCUGCAAUGAUUUCAGAUAAAUUUGCUUUAUUAAUUUACAUAGUUUUGAUAAGCUGGAAUGGUUCCUGGACCAAAACCAUGGCAACCGAACACAGCCUUAGUUAACUAGUGCGCGAGCUGAACGAUUCCCUCAGCUUAGAGUGGAUAGAUUUUUUCAUUCCUCUAAAAGUACAUGUUUGCUCACCAUUUUGGAAGAAAGAUUCAGCCUCAUUCCUUUGUCCCAAACGGUGCAGCAGUGCUGAAAACUAUAGAAACUCGGUUCCUCUACUUUUUCAUGUGUUUCUCGGGCGAACCAAACGGUAGAGUUAGGUCACAACGAUACACAUAUAAUAUGAUGCCCAAUUUCAGUUUCUAUGGAACGAAGGACUCAAUGUUUUCUUUGAACAAUCAUAUAGGAGAGAAUCCUCACCUGAAUAAUAUUGAUAUAUCGUGACAUAACCACAUCAAUAACCUUAUUUUAGGAAAAAAACAAGGCAAAAACACUUUCGUCCGGCUAAUUACAAAAAACCGGAGUAAAACCCUUACAUAACUAAAACUAAAAUCAAUGGCCGUAGCACAAAGGCGAGACUCUGGCAUAUCCACAACUACAUAGGCUCCAGCAGGGCAAAUUUUGGCAUGCAACCACAAAUACAACAGCUAUUGAGAAGACUAGAACACCAAGGCACAAGCACUUCUUCGAUGAUGCGUGUAUGACGCCAAAGACGGCAACUAAGCAAUGGCUUGGUGAGGCUUUCACCCAAGGCAGCAAGAAGAAGCAUGCGCCAUUAGCUAGGGAAGGAGAAAUUUCACCAACCACCAAACUGAUUAAUCCAAAGCUGAAAUCGUUGGUUUUCUUUCUUUCUGCAACCGAUCGGUUUCAAUUUUUGUGCAAAUGGAAGUUUUUUUUAAAAAAAAAUAGAUGAAACUGAACCGAAAUGUCGGUUCCAACCGAUUGCCCAAUCCUAUUGGCACGUCACUCUAUAAUAUCACUUCGGACUAACAAUAAAAAUAAAUAGUUUGUACAAAGACAUUGGUUAGUCUCAAAUGGUAGUAGUCACGAACAGAAGUACUUAUCAUUGCAAACAUAACAUCUCAAUAUCUUUAUUCCUUAACGAAGAUGAUGAAUAAGUAAUUGUAAGCAUACAACAAUGAAGACGGUGAAGUUCAAUUAAAAUUACAACAUAAGAUUUGGUUGGUCAUAUGUACUAGUAUUUAUCUGCAUCACAAAAUAACUCCAUGCUUCAAUGCAUAUACAAUAUAAUUCACCAAUGUCCACCGCCAAAGCCACCGCCGCCACCGAAACCGCCGCCGCCGCCACUGCCCAAGCCAGCGCCACCUCCGGCACCACCACCAAACCCUCCUCCUACACCACCUCCGCCACCCAAGCCACCACCACCACCGAACCCUCCCCCGGCACCACCUCCUGCUCCACCACCAGCGCCAAACCCGCCACCACUACCUCCACCAAGACCUCCGCUGAAACCUUUGCCUCCCCCGAAACCACCACCUAUUCCAGAACCACUACCACCUCCAAGGCCACCACCACCACCAAGGCCGCUGCCUCCACCAAGACCACCUCCAACUCCACUUCCCAAUCCACCACCUGCACCGCCGCCAAGGCCACUGCCUCCGCCAAGACCACCUCCAGCUCCACCGCCUGCACCGCCACCGAGGCCACCUCCAGCACCGCCCCCUAGACCACCACCUGCACCGACACCACCUCCAAACCCUCCUCCCGUGCCACCACCAAGGCCUCCACCAACACCACCGCCUAGGCCACCGCCUGCGCCAGCACCCCCGCCAAGGCCACCUCCUCCACCAAGACCACCUCCAGCACCACCACCUAGUCCACCACCCGCUCCACCGCCUAAGCCGCCUCCUCCACCAAGACCUCCGCCACCUCCAAGGCCACCACCAUGCCCAAGCCCUCCACCGAGUCCACCGCCUGCUCCGCCGCCACCACCAAGACCACUGCCCACACCUAGGCCGCCACCUUUUCCACCUCCAAACCCGCCGCCAAGACCUCCACCAUGCCCAAGCCCUCCACCAAAUCCACCACCGGCGCCACCUCCUCCACCAAGCCCAGCACCACCACCAAAGCCAGCGCCUCCGCCGAAACCGCCGCCACCGCCCAAGUUCUGGGUCUCAAGGAACCGCGCAUCAACGGCCACUCCGAGAGCCAGCACCACGGCCAAUGCCGCGAGCUCCAAGGCCCUCCCACGCCUCGCCACCCUCCCCAUGACGAUGAGAUGGACAGUGGAGUAAAUUGAGCUGCGUGUUGCUUAUUGAUGCUUGCAGCGAAGGACGCUGCAUGCUUAUAUAUAUGCGCGGAGCCGAUGUGAUCAAGUGGAGCGAGCGAGUGGGCAGUGUGGAAAGCUAGCUAGCAGCAGACUGCAUGUGUACGUGGAGUUAAUGUCGGUAGUUGCAGCACGUCUCAACUGUCACGGCCUCAGCCUCCAAAGGCAAGCCGCGCCAGCGAGGAGACACGCUGUGCGGGAUGCCGAUGCCGUCGCCGGAACAGACAGAGAAGAGCACGACAUGGGCGAGCAGAGAGCCAGAGACGGGCCCGGCCCGGCCGUCUCGCGGCUAUUUACCACGGCCGGGACUAGGGGCCCCGGCACAGAGACUGUUUGCAAUGUGUUUGUUUUGAGGCUGCUCGAUCGUGCAUGAGCGUUUGCAGUGGAUUCGGUUGGUGAGCUGUGGCUCUCUGAGCGGACGGGGCGCGCGGGGGACGCCGGUGCAUUUAUGUUGACGCGCUUGACCGGGUGGGGCGCCGGCCGCUCAACCAACUGACGAGCCAGAGCGCGCGCCAGCGCAAAGACUCAAGACGAUGCGCCCAUGCCACCGCGAGCGACACUGUCACGGUGCCGCGGCGCUUUUCGUUUCCUACCGGCUGCGCGCGGUGUGCGGUCGCACCGGUAUAGGGUAGUCACCUUUUUUUUUUAAGGAUAUACACGUAAUAAUCACGUACCCACGCACGGCUGGCGGCCGGCACGCGGGUCGCAGGACAUUGCUUGUGCUGAGCCGCCGGUACGUUGUGACUUGUGAGACCUGCCGCUUUCGCAUCACAGGUCUGUGUCUGUCUUGAGCUUCGUAGCGAGUCCCACUGUGUCCCAGUAUCAGAACUGAUACGUACAACGGUGGUGGGGCAAAAUUUACUUUUUGUCAUUAUGUACUGCCGACAGUAUAGAUAGCCGGUGAGCAGUGUACUAGGUAGUAGCCACAAAAGAUCAGUUAUCUGGAUACGCAUGGCCUGUGGUUUGUGGCACGGACUCUUUUUACUUUGGAGUCGUGCAUACUACGCCACAGUCAAAAACUCACAACUCAAAGGUACAUUACGAAAGCUACUAAUAACCUGCCUGAAGCAAACUCGCGCUUUCUAUCUAGCUCUCGCCUGAUCCAGACAUGUAUAUCCACAGAUUUAGCGAACCCACCACCAUUAAGGGCACGUACAACGGUUGUGUGGAAGCCGUCUGCACGCAUCUACCGAGACAAAACCAACAGAAUUAUCACGGAGAGAGAGUGCUGCCGUCGCCUCACGAGCCGACGGCCAUGGCUCGUGCUCCCAGAGCAAACACGGGCGUGGUCUGAUCCCGUGCGGCAAGCGGCCGAUGCUGUUACGACGUACAACAAGCUACUGUGAUCUCUUUUGCUUUCUUGCACAUGUAUACGGCAGUGAAGCUUUUUUGUGUAGUCAGAUUAUGCUUAUAGAUUAUGAAUAAAUAAUUUUUUAUUAUAUUAUGUAUAAAUAUACUUAUGUUUGGUAUUUAUUUAUUAACAAGCAACAUAGUGGUAUACAUGAAUAUAUCCACGUUCGAUCAUUGCUACAUACAAGCAUUAAAGAAUUAACAGACAGUCAAACAAAUAACUCAUUGCAUGUGUUGUAUAUUUAGCUGUCUCUAUAGAGUGUGACAUCAUCAUGUAGACAGCUUGCUGUCUGUAGGUUGUACAUGCCCUAAUAGUGCUAUAUGCUAAAACCAAGACCACGACCAGCUCCAAGUCGAAAGGCGCCCCUGCAUCAUGCACCAACUACCGAAUAAUGCAUGGAAGCAGCAAGGCAUGAGCUCCACACAGAAAUUUAAAAAGGUGCACCGGUGUGCCCUAUAGACGCAGAAGCAGCAUUUAAUCUCACAUGCAGCUGCCGCAUAGCGCAUACCCUUGUAUAGUUUUUUUUUUUUGACAAUUAACGAUUUUAUUUCAGCAGCAAGAAGUGCAAGCAACCUUAGUUUCUAAAAAUUUUCAAAAUUCUCCAUCACAUUAAAUAUUUAGAGGCAUGCAUUGGAGUAUUAAUAUAGACAAAAACAAAAAUUAAUUACACAGUUUGUCUGCUGCAAGACGAAUCUUUUGAGUCUAGUUGGUCCAUAAUUAGAUAAUAAAGCCUUAUUCAGUUCCAAGACGAAAAGUUUUUGGAUGUCACAUCGAAUAUGUCAGCAUAUAUUUGAAGUACUAAACGUAGACUAAUAAAAAACAAAUUACGUAGCUUGUCUAGAAACUGAGACGAAUUUAUUAAGCCUAAUUAAUCCAUCAUUAGCACAUGUGGGUUACUGUAGCAGUUAUGGCUAAUCCUGGACUAAUUAGGCUUAAAAGAUUCGUCUCGCGAUUUACAACCAAACUAUGCAAUUAGAGCACUUGCAAUGCAAUACUCUAUCACAGAGUCCAAGACAAUUAAUUACAUAUUAUUUAUGGUAUUUUGCUGAUGUGGCAAUAUAUUUAUUGAAGAAAGUCUUAUUUAGACUCUAAGUCCACAUUGUUCGAGGUAAUAAAUAACUUACUCUAUGAUAGAGUCUGCAUUAUGAGGCUAGUCUCAAUGCAUGUUUCAUGAGAGUGUCAUGCACAUUAAAUAAGGUGCCACAUAAGCAAAAUUGCUGACUUGGCAGGGGCAUUAAAUGAAGGAGUUUCGUCAGAUGAGAGAGGAGUUUCAUCUCCAUGAAACUCCUAUGGCUCGGUUACCUAGUUUAUAGUCUUGGUAACUGUGUCAUGAAACUAUACAUUGAGCUGGCCUGAGUGCCCUUAGUUUUUAUUUUCAUCCAUAUUUAAUGUUCCAUACAUAUAUCCAAAGAUUCGAUGUGAUGGAUCAUGAAAAUUUUUUGAAUAAUGAACUAAACAAGGCCUAACUAUCAAAUACAAACGAACGUAUUACCGUAGUCAAAGCCAAAAAAUUUCACGAACUAAACAAGACGUGACAGAAGACACUUAUGACUAUGGUGACUAUAGGAGCACACAUGCUCAAAGUCAAAGGAUGCAGUAGUAGGCUCUGUAACAGAGGUAGCCUUUCUAGACCUUGUUUAGCUCCCAAAAAAUUUUACAAAUUUGGUGCUGAGACUCUUGUAGAUCAUUGUCUGUCGGCAGGAUGGUCUUGGGCCUUGUUUACUUGCCAGAAAAUUUUGCAAAAUUUUUCAUAUUCCCCGUCAUAUCGAAUCUUUAGACGCAUGCAUGGAGUAUUAAAUAUAGACGAAAAUAAAAACUAAUUGCAUAGUUUGGUCGAAAUUGACGAGACGAAUCUUUUGAGCCUAGUUAGUCCAUGAUUGGAUAAUAUUUAUCAAAUACAAACGAAAAUGCUACAGUGUCUAUUUUCCAAAAAUUUUCGAAACUAAACAAGGCCUUGAUCAGCAGCAUUUAGCUUGGUUCUAAAAGAAAUUUAAAUUUUUUUGUCACAUCAAAUUUUAUGGUAUAUACAUAGACCAUUAAAUAUAGAUAAAAAAAUAAUUAAUUACGCUGUAUGUAAUCUGUAAAAUGAAUCUUUUAAAUAUAAUUAAUUUAUGAUUGAUAAUAAUUAUUAAAUACAAAUAAAAGUACUAUGAUAACCAAAACUAAAAAAAUCGCCGACUAAACAUGGCCUUUUAGAAAAUGGACCAACUGGUUGCAGACUUGCGACUUGCGACAACAAGGCUGUGUUGGUGAAAUUGAGCAGAUCGUGACAGUUGCUGCAAGUGCUUGAGCUGCAGCCUCAGCCAUAAUGACACCGGACAUGAUCGCCUUUGAUUGUUUGCGCCGGCUGUACCUGCAUGUUAACUACUCCAAGGGCAGCGUAGGUCUCGGCGGCAUCGAACGCUGAUCAGACAGUAGGGAUGCGUCGGUAUAGCACCUGACUCCAGGCAGUAGAGCCGGCAUGUGGAAUUGUGGAUGGUGUACCUGUCCGCGCGUGUUGUGGUUUAGGCCCUGUUUAGAUUGCUGACAAAAAUUUUCCAGGUGUCACAUCGGAUGUGUCGGAAGGAUAUCGAGAGGAGUUUUUAGAAACUAAUAAAAAAAUAAAUUACAUAGCUCGUCAGGAAACUGCAAGACAAAUCUAUUAAGCAUAAUUAAUCUGUCAUUAGCACAUGUGGGUUACUGUAGCACUUAAGGCUAAUCAUAGAGUAACUAGGCUUAAAAGAUUCGUCUCGUGCUUUUCAACCAAACUGUGUAAACAGGGCCUUAGGCUGGAGCCUGCGAGUGUAGUGUUCAUACCUGUCACAUAAUUUGUAAGUCAUCAAGUAUUGUAUACUCGAGUACAGUGUGGAGUAUAUGUUAGUGCCAUACACAUACAUAUAUGCCUCGGUAAUGGGCCACUGUUCACUUGAGUCUAUCUGUCAAAUCUGCCGGCCAUUCAAGCCAACAGUACUUUCAGUUAUAACUUAUCAGCCAAACAAAUAGAGAUCUACAGAUAUAUAAGCGUCACUAAAUAGCAAAUCUUGAAUUAGAGCAAGUAUAAUAAGUGGGUAUUUAAUCUGUUCCAAAUUAUAAGUCGCUUUGACUUUUUUAUACGUAGAUUUUUUUUCUAUGUAUUUAUAGACAUAUAGGGUAUUAUAUCUAGAUAUAUAGUAAAAUGGUUGUAAAAAAAAAUCAAAGCGACUUAUAAUUUAGAGCUAAGGGAGGAUAAACAGGCUAUAGGAGUUAAGUUCCGUUUACACACACAACAGGAAACUACGAGUUGCAUUCAGGUUACAUAACAUGUCCGUGCUAAUGUAACUCUAGUUUCCGUGCUAAUGUAACCUGAAUGCAAAGUUAACUAGAGUUCCGUUUACACACCACACCACCUGGCAUUUCAUCGAACAUCUCUUGUGCUCCCUGAAUGUCACUGGAUCCACAAACUUGACAUGCUUCGUCAUGGCUGCAGCAGAAUCCUCAAGACGCAUUCCAUCCAACACCUGGUUCACAUCAUCCAUGUCAGGUUGCAGGGUAAAUGAAGGAUUACUAGCAUGAGUAAGACAGUCAUCGUUGGCAAGUUCAACAAUUGGGUUCUUCUCCUCACCAACCAAAUAGUCGCUACCUUGAUCUAGCUGCUUCAAUAAACCAUGAUGGUCAGCCACUUGAUGAAAUUCCCCAUCCCACAUCACUUUCUGAGAAGACAAUCGUAUGCCUCUAUAUCGACAAAUCAAUGCCGCCCUUGCCCAACACCAGUUCACCUGGUGACACUACGGGAUCAGAGCACUCAACCACCAUCUCCCCAUCUAAAUGUUGCUUUUCCUCAUCCCAAACCACUUCUAGAUGAGACAAUACAGCCAACACUGGAUGCCAACUCCAUUGUUGUGGCAUUCCCACAAACACCCUAGGGGCAAAACAUAGCGCAGGUGCUCACUGCUUCAAUCACGCCGGAAGGGAAUCUGAGGAAGUAUGUCAGUGUCACAAGCAGGUACUUGUGGUCGCCGCCACCAGCAAUCAGGGGUGCCUCGACCGGAAGCCGCCCGGGGGUCGAGCAUCGCCAACGCCUCCACCAACUGUCACACCCCAUAGCCACCGGUGAUGAGGACCAGGACGUGAGGAAGACGGGGAUGAUCGUACCAGUAGUUCCCAUGCCGGCCGGCGAUCCACAAGGAUCACGGGACGUGAGAAAAUUCGCCACCGGGUAGUUCCCAUGCCCACACACAAGGAUCGAC
rnacentral:lncRNA from 1 species